GACGAACGCUGGCGGUGUGCUUCACACAUGCAAGUCGAACGAGGUAGCAAUACCUAGUGGCGGACGGGGUGAGUAACGCGUGGGAAUCUGCCUUUAGAUGGGGGAUAACGGGGUCGAAAGACUCGCUAAUACCGCAUAUGACGAAAGUUGAAAGGAGUAAUCCGUCUAAAGAUGAGCCCGCGUCCGAUUAGCUAGUUGGUAAGAGUAAAAGCCUACCAAGGCGACGAUCGGUAGCUGGUCUGAGAGGAUGAUCAGCCACAAUGGGAACUAGAGACACGGCCCAUACUCCUACGGAGGCAGCAGUGGGAUUUUACGCAAUGGGCGAAAGCCUGACGUAGCGACACCGCGUGAGCGAAGAAGCCCUUGGGGUGUAAAAGCUCUGUCAGCUGGAACGAAAAAAAUGACGGUACCAGCAGAGGAAGCAUCGGCUAACUACGUGCCAGCAGCCGCGGU
rnacentral:rRNA from 1 species